UUGGCUCUCUGCUUGUGUAUUGUUGGUGUAAAGGAAUGCUUGUAAUUUUUGCACAUCAAUUUUCUAUCCUGAGACUUUGCUAAAGUUGCUUAUCAGCUUAUGAGAGGAUGUUGAAUUUCAUCAAAGGCCUUUUCUGCAUCUGUUGACAUAAGCCUGUGGUUUCUGUCUUUUAGACUGGAUAAAGCAAAUGUGUUACAUGUACACCAUAGAAUACUAUGCAGCCAAAAAAGAACACUGUGCCAAUUAGUAAUCUGAGUUCUGUGGAUCAAAGAUUAAUAAGAAAGAAUCACUUCAGUUUAGUAGGCCAUUAUCUACUAGGGAAAUAAAUACAAAUAAAUAGUUACAAGCACAUUUUAUAAUUCUUUAUUAUAAUGUCCAUUAGAAACAAAAGUAUAAAAAGUAUAGCAAC
rnacentral:lncRNA from 1 species